rnacentral:rRNA from 1 species
AGUGAACGCUGGCGGUAGGCCUAACCCAUGCACGUCGAACGGCAGCACAGUAAGAGCUUGCUCUUACGGGUGGCGAGUGGCGGACGGGUGAGGAAUACAUCGGCAUCUACUUUUUCGCGGGGGAUAACGUAGGGAAACUUACGCUAAUACCGCAUACGACCUACGGGUGAAAGCAGGGGAUCUUCGGACCUUGCGCGAUUGAAUGAGCCGAUGCCGGAUUUGCUAGUUGGCGGGGUAAAGGCCCACCAAGGCGACGAUCCGUAACUGGUCUGAGAGGAUGAGCAGCCACACUGGAACUGAGACACGGGCUAGACUCCUACGGGAGGCAGCAGUGGGGAAUAUUGGACAAUGGGCGCAAGCCUGAUCCAGCCAUACCGCGGGGGUGAAGAAGGCCUUCGGGUUGUAAAGCCCUUUUGUUGGGAAAGAAAAGCAGCAGGUUAAUACCCCGCUGUUCUGACGGUACCCAAAGAAUAAGCACCGGCUAACUUCGUG